GAUGAACGCUGGCGGCGUGCCUAAUACAUGCCAGUCGAGCGAACGGACGAGAAGCUUGCUUUUCUGAUGUUAGCGGCGGACGGGUGAGUAACACGUGGAUAACCUACCUAUAAGACUGGGAUAACUUCGGGAAACCGGAGCUAAUACCGGAUAAUAUUUUGAACCGCAUGGUUCAAAAGUGAAAGACGGUUUUGCUGUCACUUAUAGAUGGAUCCGCGCUGCAUUAGCUAGUUGGUAAGGUAACGGCUUACCAAGGCAACGAUGCAUAGCCGACCUGAGAGGGUGAUCGGCCACACUGGAACUGAGACACGGUCCAGACUCCUACGGGAGGCAGCAGUAGGGAAUCUUCCGCAAUGGGCGAAAGCCUGACGGAGCAACGCCGCGUGAGUGAUGAAGGUCUUCGGAUCGUAAAACUCUGUUAUUAGGGAAGAACAUAUGUGUAAGUAACUGUGCACAUCUUGACGGUACCUAAUCAGAAAGCCACGGCUAACUACGUG
rnacentral:rRNA from 1 species